rnacentral:rRNA from 1 species
AGCGAACGCUGGCGGCAGGCCUAACACAUGCAGGUCGAACGAAGUCUUCGGACUUGGUGGCGGACGGGUGAGUAACACGUGGGAACGUACCUUUUGGUUCGGAACAACUCAGGGAAACUUGAGCUAAUACCGGAUGAGCCCUUAGGGGGAAAGAUUUAUCGCCGAAAGAGCGGCCCGCGUUAGAUUAGCUAGUUGGUGAGGUAAAGGCUCACCAAGGCUACGAUCUAUAGCUGGUCUGAGAGGAUGAUCAGCCACACUGGGACUGAGACACGGCCCAGACUCCUACGGGAGGCAGCAGUGGGGAAUCUUGCGCAAUGGGCGAAAGCCUGACGCAGCCAUGCCGCGUGAAUGAUGAAGGUCUUAGGAUUGUAAAAUUCUUUUACCAGGGACGAUAAUGACGGUACCUGGAGAAAAAGCCCCGGCUAACUUCGUGCCAGCCGCCGCGGUAAAAC